rnacentral:tRNA from 1 species
AUACUUGUGUGAAAAAUAGUAUUCGGCUGUUAACCGAAAGGUUGGUGGUUCGAGCCCACCCAGGGACA